ACACGUAGGCGACAAGCGUUAUCCGGAUUUACUGGGCGUAAAGGGCGUGUAGGCGGUCUUGCAAGUCAGAAGUGAAAUUCCUGAGCUCAACUCGGGCGCUGCUUCUGAAACUGCAGGACUUGAGUGCUGGAGGGGAUAGCGGAAUUCCUAGUGGAGCGGUAAAAUGCGCAGAUAUUAGGAAGAACACCGGUGGCGAAGGCGGCUAUCUGGACAGUAACUGACGCUGAGGCGCGAAAGCGUGGGGAGCAAACAGGAUUAGAUACCCUGGCAGUCCACGCCGUAAACGAUGAAUACUAGGUGUAGGGGGUAUCGACUCCCUCUGUGCCGCAGUUAACACAAUAAGUAUUCCGCCUGGGGAGUACGGCCGCAAGGUUGAAACUCAAAUGAAUUGACGGGG
rnacentral:rRNA from 1 species